GAGGUGUAACGUCACGCAU
rnacentral:rRNA from 1 species